rnacentral:rRNA from 1 species
AGUGAACGCUGGCGGUAGGCCUAACACAUGCAAGUCGAACGGCAGCACAGUAAGAGCUUGCUCUUACGGGUGGCGAGUGGCGGACGGGUGAGGAAUACAUCGGAAUCUACUUUUUCGUGGGGGAUAACGUAGGGAAACUUACGCUAAUACCGCAUACGACCUACGGGUGAAAGCAGGGGAUCUUCUGACCUUGCGCGAUUGAAUGAGCCGAUGUCGGAUUAGCUAGUUGGCGGGGUAAAGGCCCACCAAGGCGACGAUCCGUAGCUGGUCUGAGAGGAUGAUCAGCCACACUGGAACUGAGACACGGUCCGGACUCCUACGGGAGGCAGCAGUGGGGAAUAUUGGACAAUGGGCGCAAGCCUGAUCCAGCCAUACCGCGUGGGUGAAGAAGGCCUUCGGGUUGUAAAGCCCUUUUGUUGGGAAAGAAAAGCAGCAGGUUAAUACCCCGCUGUUCUGACGGUACCCAAAGAAUAAGCACCGGCUAACUUCGUG